CCCCCCCCUCCCUGCAGUAUGUAUUCUAUUGAUAAUGAUGGAAUCUGUAUUUGUCAAUGGAAGAUCUCACAGAGCCUCAGGUGCUUAAUUCUAAACAUCAGUUCUCAUUGUCUUGUUCUAUAGCCAGAUAUGGGAGACUGAGCUGAUCUGACAUGGAUCCAGGGCAUCCUUGGAAGAUGGGAAAAUAGAGAUACGAUGCCUUGCCAAAGCUCUCACCAAUGCAAUGAAGCCUAAUGUCAGAUAAGAGAAGAGAGACUGACAUUUCUGAUUCCCAGGGAAGAAGAAGAAUGGGGAGAAGAGGAAUGGAGGAGUCAAGGGGAGUAGAAGCCUGAUUCUGGAGAAAGGAGAAAAUUCAGCUCCGUGUGGCCUAGAAAGGUUUAGGUCAAGAAGAUAUUGAAGAGGCUAUGAACAGGCCAAAUCUCAUGUCUCCAACCUGCUUUGGCCUUUUGGUGACUACUCAUUACCUGCAGGUCACAAACUCAGAAGGAUUGAGGCCUACAGAUAGAGUCUAUCAUCUGGUUGAAUAUUUAAAUGUUAAAUGUUAAAACUGUUAAAAUAAAAAAAAAUCCCAGGUAAAGUCAUUAUUUAAAAGGGUCACUCUAUAUACUUU